rnacentral:rRNA from 1 species
UACGUAGGGUGCAAGCGUUGUCCGGAAUUAUUGGGCGUAAAGAGCUCGUAGGCGGUGUGUCGCGUCGGCCGUGAAAACCUGGGGCUUAACUCUGGGCGUGCGGUCGAUACGGGCAUCACUGGAGUUCGGCAGGGGAGACUGGAAUUCCUGGUGUAGCGGUGAAAUGCGCAGAUAUCAGGAGGAACACCAGUAGGCGAAGGCGGCUCGCUGGCCACACCUGACGCUGAGACGCGAAAGCUAGGGAGCAAACGGG